UCAAUUCUCUGAGUAGACUGUCAGGUCUAAUAUUGGUGUGGGCAGGAAUAUAAUUGAUAAGGGAACCAACAUUGGGAACCCAAGGGUCCUUCCAACUUUGGAUUUUGUUCCCAUUACCGACUAACCAUACGAUGUUCUAGCGCAAAAGUGCCCAGACUUUAGAGAGAGACUUCCAAAGAAAGGAGCUACGAGCUCUCUCAAUGCUAUUAGGCAGAGAACGUACAACUGCCUUCUUUUAACCAAUCUCACUUUUAACAUUUCACUCAUCUCACAUAAAAUAUCCAAAAUUUAACAUCAUUAAAUUAUUUUUGAUUUGAUAAUGAAAGGACAAUAAGUGUUACAUGUAUACUGUAGGGCCCAGUUUUAGCCCGGGCCCAAGACCCACAAACAAAUAAACAGAAAUAAAAUUCUUUUUUUUACAGUCCAAAUUACAAGCCCAAUUGUUUUUAACCUAAAUCUAAAACCCAAAAUAAAACUUAAACCCAAACCCUAAUAACCCUAAAGCCCAAAGGGGCUUAAAACCUAAACUUUUCAGCAAAAAAACCCCUAGCCCCCAGUGCUUGCAACAGUCGCCGCUCCACCAACGACCUCCGCGUCCCCCGCCACUCGGGCCUCCAAUGCCGCACUACUCACGCCAUGUCAGUGCCCACAUCCACCACGCUACCUGCAAUAGUCGAAAAAACAGUUGUAAAAAGGCUAUAAAAGCCUCAUGAGAAUCUAUUGUUGGGGGAGCUUUUGUUUACCCUUUUUUUUAGAGAAAUAGAAUACAGGGGAAAUACAAGAAAACACACUCAAAUCAAUACAAAAGAAAACUCCAAAGCAAGGAGGUGAUUUCAUUUUUUCUUUCUUUCUUAUUUUUUGAGUUUCCUUUUUCUUAUAUUUUUUUUAGAUAUACAAUAAUCAAAGAGGAAAGGAGAAGGGCUUACCUGAACCCGCGGUCACAGUGCCGGAGAAUCCUUCUCCGUCGUUGGAAUUAGACUCAAAAAAGGGUUGGUUGGAUGGCCUCUCUAUGAUCUGUUGAAGGAGAGCAAAAAUGGGGUUUAGGGAUUUGGAACUUUUUUUAAAGAAGAGUAAGAAUCCUUGUUUGUUUUAAAAAGAAGGAAAAACGGAAUGGGUCUGUAACGUUUUGUUUGAAGUGGUUUAAACUAAAUUUGAAACGACGUCGUUUAAGGAAGGGAGGAGUUUUUCAUUUUUGGAAUUUUGGGAUAUUUUCGCGAAUAGUCCUUCUUUGCAAAGCUUUU
rnacentral:lncRNA from 1 species